rnacentral:rRNA from 1 species
UGCUACAGCCAUGCUGCCCUGAAUGUGCUCGAUCUUGUCAGGUCUCAGAAGCUAAACAGGGUCGGGCCUGGUUAGUACUUGGAUGGGAGACUGCCUAGGAAUACCAGAUGCUGUAGGCG